rnacentral:rRNA from 1 species
CGCCUCCUGAAUAAAUAUAGGAGGUCCGACCUGCCCAGUGAUAUUAAUUAAACGGCCGCGGUAUACUGACCGCGCUAAGGUAGCACAAUCACUUGUCUCUUAAAUCGGGACUAGUAUGAAAGGACCCACGAGAGUCUAACUGUCUCCUUUUUUUAAUCCGUGAAACUAAUCCCCCCGUGAAAAAGCGGGGAUCGUAAUAUAAGACGAGAAGACCCUAUGGAGCUUUAGAUAAAACAAUACUUCUCUUUUUUUUCCACUUCCAGAAAAAUACCCCACAAAGCACUUUAUUGUUAAACUUCGGUUGGGGCGACCGCGGAGCAAAACCAACCCUCCACGCGAGUGGAAAUUCUCCCACAACAAAGAGCUACAACUCUAUGAACCAAAAAUUGCUAAUUGACCCAAUGUUUGAUCAACGAAACAAGUUACCCUAGGGAUAACAGCGCAAUCCACUUCAAGAGUCCCUAUUGACAAGUGGGUUUACGACCUCGAUGUUGGAUCAGGGUAUCCCAGUGGUGCAACCGCUACUAAAGGUU